rnacentral:rRNA from 1 species
AUUGAACGCUGGCGGCGUGCCUAAUACAUGCAAGUCGAACGCAGUGGGGACGGGUGAGUAACACGUGGGUAACCUCCCAUCAGAGGGGAUAACACUUGGAAACAGGUGCUAAACCGAUACUGAUGGAUGGACCCGCGGUGCAUUAGCUAGUUGGUGAGGUAACGGCUCACCAAGGCCACGAUGCAUAGCCGAACUAGGAGAGUGGUCGGAAAAACGGGGACUGAGACACGGCCCAGAGUCAUACGGGAGGCAGCAGUAGGGAAUCUUGGUAAAUGGACGAAAGUCUGACCGAGAAACGCCGCGUGAGUGAAGAAGGUUUUCGGAUCGUAAAACUCUGUUGUUAGAGAAGAGGUAUCUAACCAGAAAGCCACGGCUAACUAGGUGCCAGCAGCCGCGGUAAUUC